AGCGAACGCUGGCGGCAGGCUUAACACAUGCAAGUCGAGCGGGCACUUUCGGGUGUCAGCGGCGGACGGGUGAGUAACGCGUGGGAACGUGCCCUCUGGUUCGGAAUAACUCAGGGAAACUUGAGCUAAUACCGGAUACGCCCUUUUGGGGAAAGGCUUGCUGCCGGAGGAUCGGCCCGCGUCUGAUUAGCUAGUUGGUGAGGUAACGGCUCACCAAGGCGACGAUCAGUAGCUGGUCUGAGAGGAUGAUCAGCCAUACUGGGACUGAGACACGGCCCAGACUCCUACGGGAGGCAGCAGUGGGGAAUAUUGGACAAUGGGCGCAAGCCUGAUCCAGCCAUGCCGCGUGAGUGAUGAAGGCCUUAGGGUUGUAAAGCUCUUUUAUCCGGGACGAUAAUGACGGUACCGGAGGAAUAAGCCCCGGCUAACUUCGUG
rnacentral:rRNA from 1 species